UACGGAGGGGGCUAGCGUUGUUCGGAAUUACUGGGCGUAAAGCGCGUGUAGGCGGCUAUGUAAGUCGGGCGUGAAAUCCCACGGCUCAACCGUGGAAGUGCACCCGAAACUGCGUAGCUAGAGUCCUGGAGAGGAAGGUGGAAUGCUUGGUGUAGAGGUGAAAUUCGUAGAUAUGGGGAGGAACACCGGUGGCGAAGGCGGCCAUCUGGACGGUAACUGACGCUGAGACGCGAAAGCGUGGGGAGCAAACA
rnacentral:rRNA from 1 species